UACGUAGGGGGCAAGCGCUAUCCGGAUUUACUGGGUGUAAAGGGAGCGUAGACGGCUGUGCAAGCCAGAUGUGAAAGCCCGGGGCUCAACCCCGGGACUGCAUUUGGAACUGUGUAGCUGGAGUGUCGGAGAGGCAGGCGGAAUUCCUAGUGUAGCGGUGAAAUGUGUAGAUAUUAGGAGGAACACCAGUGGCGAAGGCGGCCUGCUGGACGAUGACUGACGUUGAGGCUCGAAAGCGUGGGGAGCAAACAGG
rnacentral:rRNA from 1 species